rnacentral:rRNA from 1 species
UACGUAGGGUGCGAGCGUUGUCCGGAAUUAUUGGGCGUAAAGAGCUCGUAGGCGGUGUGUCGCGUCGGUCGUGAAAAACUUGGGGCUUAACCCUGAGCUUGCGGUCGAUACGGGCAUCGACUGAGUUCGGCAGGGGAGACUGGAAUCCUGGUGUAGCGGUGAAUGCGCAGAUAAUCAGGAGGAACACCGGUGGCGAAGGCGGGU